rnacentral:rRNA from 1 species
GAGCAGAGGUGCAAGAGAACCGUGAAACCGUUAUAGUGGAAGCGGAUGGAGCCGACGUAUCCCAUUGUCUAUUUAUCGACUGUGGGUCGCAAUUGUUUCGUUUUGAAGUCUGCAAAGUCCGAGAGGAGUAACUAUUGUCUUCUGUGAGUGGUGCACUUGCGCACAGAGUGCGCCGAAUCGGCUAGACUUCGCGUUAGAAGUCUCGCCAAGAGGCUCGGCUCGCCAGAGCCCGAAACCCUGGCAUGGGCGGGGCGGGGCUUGAGCCGGGUCGCGUUCCAUAAGGCGGGUCGAUCUGGGGUGGCCGUAGAGGUUCCUAUGUUUGUGGGGUGGCGCGCGUGUUUCUUGUCUCAAGACGUGUUUCUUUUCGCGGUCGUUUCUCGGCCGGUAUUCGGUGUUUAAUCGGUCACCCCUUUGGCCCCUUCUGAAACACGGACCAAGGAAUUUAAGGUCUACGCAAGUCAUUGAGUGGAAAACUCAAAGGCGAAAUGAAAGUGGGACACUUGGUGUCUGUGAUGCGAUCCGUGUAUGAUUCGUUGUGUGCGGAGCAGCAUCGACCCAUGACCAGAACUUGUUCUGUUGUGGCGUCUGAGCGUGGGCUUUGAGACCCGAAAGAUGGUGAACUAUGCCUGAACAGGACGAAGUCAGAGGAAACUCUGAUGGAAGUCCGAAGCGGUUCUGACGUGCAAAUCGAUCGUCUGAUUUGGGUAUAGGGGCGCAAGACUAAUCAAACCAUC